rnacentral:rRNA from 1 species
GGACUACAAGGGUAUCUAAUCCUGUUUGCUCCCCACGCUCUCGCGCCUCAGCGUCAGUUUCUGUCCAGGUAGCCGCCUUCGCCACUGGUGUUCCUUCCGAUCUCUACGCAUUUCACCGCUACACCGGAAAUUCCACUACCCUCUACAGUACUCCAGAUAUUCAGUCUUAGAUGACCGCCCCAGGUUAAGCCCAGGGAUUUCACAUCUAGCUUAAUUAUCCGCCUACGCGCCCUUUACGCCCAGUAACUCCGAUUAACGCUCGCACCCUCUGUAUUACCGCGGCUGCUGGCAC